rnacentral:rRNA from 1 species
AUCCACUCACACCUGUGCACCCUCUGUAGUUCUAUGGCUUGGGGGACUCUGUUCUCCUGUCAUGGUUCUACGUCUUUACACACACUCUGUAAUGAAGUCUCAUGGAAUGUAUGCCGCGUUUAACGCAAUACAAUACAACUUUCAGCAACGGAUCUCUUGGCUCUCGCAUCGAUGAAGAACGCAGCGAAAUGCGAUAAGUAAUGUGAAUUGCAGAAUUCAGUGAAUCAUCGAAUCUUUGAACGCACCUUGCGCCCUUUGGCCAUUCCGAAGGGCAUGCCUGUUUGAGUAUCAUGAACACCUCAACUCUCAUGGUUUGCCAUGAUGAGCUUGGACUUUGGGGGUCUUGCUGGCCUGCGGUCAGCUCCUCUCAAAUGAAUCAGCUUGCCAGUGUUUGGUGGCAUCACAGGUGUGAUAACUAUCUACGCUUGUGGUUUUCUACCAGGUAACCUUCAGCGAUGGAGGUU